UGUGCUUUCAUCUUUUGUUCGCGCAGAAGGCCGUGCUGGUCACGUAGCGGAAAGAAGGAAACAACAUCUAGAGGGAUAUAAGCUCUCUGUUUUUUUUUAUGAGUGAACUUUUGUUUUCAGAUGCCUGCUUGAUGCCACUUGACCGAACACGAGAUACGUGGUUUUGUGUGGGCGCGGGUUCGGAAGUACAAUUGGCACUUCUUUCCGAGCAGCCUGGAAGACUAGGGUCUUAUACGAACAGUAGAUAGUGGUGUUAUGGGGGGAAAUCGGGAAAUACAUUUUCCCCAAUUUUCACCCAUAAAAUGGAAGAUACUAGAGGAUGUCAGCAUACUCAGAGGAUGGCAUAGAUCAACAGGACAUGUCGUUGCGCACGUCUUAGAGACGAGACACGAAGACAUGGGAAAUUAGACGUUCGAAAAUGCAAAGAGGUACAUUGUACCAGUACAUUCUUUUCUUGUUUUCACCCAAACUACAAUAGUGCUCAUACCGAUCCCUAACUUAGCAUAGAAGCUCAGGAGGACCUUCUCUUCAUUGUGCCGGUGUCAGAAACGAUGGACGAGAGACAUACGAAAUGAAGGCUUCGAAAGUGCCAAGAGCCUUACCUGUGCCGAAGGUGCCAAUAGUCUUACAUUUUCCCCCAUUUUCACCCAAAAUAAAACGUGCUAAUGAGUACUCAUGAGUGUUCAAGAGUACUCAUGAGUGAGUGCUCAUGACUGCUCAUGCCUGUAACUUAGCAUAGAUGCUCAGCAUCUUUAUUCUGCAGAUGUAAGAGACGGUGAACAAAGACAUCGGAAAUGAAGGCUUCGAAAGUGCCAAGAGGGUGUCAUAGGCGACCAACGAAGAACAUCGGAAAUUAAUGCUUCGAAAACGCCAAGAGGUCCCAAUCCUGCUGCCGCUUCUGAAUUAUUCUCAACCUCAGGACGGGCCGAAGGUCCUGGAAAGGUGCCUCAAAGGGGACUACAUGGGA